CCGUCGAUAGCUCAGUUGGUAGAGCGGGAGACUGUAGAGGCUAAUACACUGACGUCGCUGGUUCGAAUCCGGCUCGACGGA
rnacentral:tRNA from 1 species